UACGAAGGGGGCUAGCGUUGUUCGGAAUUACUGGGCGUAAAGCGCGUGUAGGCGGGUCUUUAAGUCAGGGGUGAAAUGCCAAGGCUCAACCUUGGAACUGCCUUUGAUACUGGAGACCUUGAGUCCGGGAGAGGUGAGUGGAAUUGCGAGUGUAGAGGUGAAAUGCGCAGAUAAUCAGGAGGAACACCGGUGGCGAAGGCGGGUCUCUGGGGCCGGAAGUGACUGACGCUGGAGGAGCG
rnacentral:rRNA from 1 species